rnacentral:rRNA from 1 species
UACGAGGGGGGCAAGCGUUGUUCGGAAUUAUUGGGCGUAAAGGGGGCGUAGGCGGUUUGGUAAGUCUUAUGUGAAAUCUACAGGCUCAACUUGUAGUCUGCAUGAGAAACUGCCGGGCUUGAGUAUGGGAGAGGUGAGUGGAAUUCCUGGUGUAGCGGUGAAAUGCGUAGAUAUCAGGAGGAACACCUGUGGCGAAAGCGGCUCACUGGACCAUAACUGACGCUGAUGCACGAAAGCUAGGGGAGCAAACAGG